rnacentral:lncRNA from 1 species
CCCAGUUGUGUAACUCACCUCUGAGUCACGCUUCCCCUGACUCCCCCUGUGCUGUGGCUGCCUUCCGCCUGGCAGAGCAGAGCUUCCUCAGGACACCAGACAGGCCACUCUCGUCCAGAAGUCAGGGUCGUGACGAUGGGCUCUUCUGCCUCGGGUACACCAGCUAGGAAGAUGUCACUUUUAAUUACGGUGAUGGAGGAUAGGUCUCCACUUCUCCUGGAAGACACCGUAGCUUCCAUCCUCCAGUCGCAGCAGAUGAAUAUUUUAUUACCUUGCUUUUGCCAUGGCAUUAGGCAGUUUUCCUGUGAAGAGCCAGAGCGUGACAAACUCCAGCAGGCAGAGACGAGGGCUCUGAUGACGGAGCCGCGGAAAGCAAAUCACCCCGUCAAGUCCCAGGAGGGCUCACAGAUGCUGGUGGUUGGUGUCUU